rnacentral:misc_RNA from 1 species
AAAAAAUCAAAAUUAAAAAAAAAGUUGAUAAUGAUUUGAUGUAUGGAAUGGAUUGGAGGUUUUCAACACAAAACAAAACAAAAAACAUGCUCUGAUAUUCUGUCUGGUAUUUAGGGUCUUUCCCUUUUUCUCGUCCUACAAUCCCAAUCCCAAUAUUCCCAUUUCUCUCUCUCUUUGCUUCUGCCCUUCCUCUUCUUCUUCUUAACCUCUGAACGCUUCUUAUCAUACUUCAGAGCUUUCUCUGAAAACACCCUCUUCAAUUCAUUCCACAAAGGGCUUCACUUUUUCUUUUUUGAAUAUCUUUAUAAUUUCUGGACUCUCUGUGCGUUUGAGCUGAAGGGGUUGGAGAAUCUGCUUCCAAAGCUUCAUGUUAUUGAUUUGAG